UCUCCGUAGGUGAACCUGCGGAGGGAUCAUUACAGAGUUCUCGCCCUCGCGGGUAGAUCUCCCGCCCACUGUUAUCGUUACUGUGUUGCUUUGGCGGGCCGCCGGGCCCCGCUCGGCCGCUGGCUCCGGCUGGCGCGCGCCCGCCAGAGGCCCAGCAAACUCUGAAUGUUAGUGUCGUCUGAGUACUAUAUAAUAGUUAAAACUUUCAACAACGGAUCUCUUGGUUCUG
rnacentral:misc_RNA from 1 species